UCCUGUUAUACCUUUUUCCCAACCUGUUCCUGCUCCUAGAAAAUCCACUAGACAGCAUAAUCCUCCAUCCUAUCUUAAGGAUUAUGUCUGCCAACUCCCUGCCUUUUCUGGAUCCUCUUCUUCUACCUUGGAAUCUGAACCUUUUUAUUACUCUCAAGCUGCAUCUGUUCCAGCAUGGCAGGAUGCCAUGAGACAGGAGUUUGAUGCUUUGGAAGCAAACCAUACCUGGGUCAACUCCUUGCCUUUUCUGGAUCCUCUUCUUCUACUUUAGAAUCUGAACCGUUAUAUUACUCUCAAGCUGCAUCUGUUCCAGCAUGGCAGGAUGCCAUGAGACAGGAGUUUGAUGCUUUGGAAGCAAACCAUACCUGGGAUGUUGUUCC
rnacentral:lncRNA from 1 species